CUCCAGUAUAUCUAAUUUCAAGUUAAAUAUUUUAAAAUCAAUAGCCUUAACCAUCAAUGUGCCUUCAGACUUGGUUGAUAAUUUAUCCCAGAAUUAUAAAUUUAUCUGGACAGACAAGGAAUUAAAUUAUUUGGGUCUAACGAUCCCUGUAAGUAUUCCGACUAUAAUGGAGAGAAACGUUUUAAUCUUAAUGAAAAACAUGAACCUUAAAUUAAAAAAAUGGCAAAAUUUGGAAACUUCGUGGAUAG